ACGCUCGACACCUACGUGAGGCAGCAGUCGGGAAUAUUGCGCAAUGGAGGAAACUCUGACGCAGUGACGCCGCGUGCAGGAAGAAGGUUUUCGGAUUGUAAACUGCUUUAGACAGGGAAGAAAGAAAUGACAGUACCUGUAGAAUAAGCUCCGGCUAACUACGUGCAAGCAGCCGCGGUAAUCUGAGCGGGCUGGCAAGGC
rnacentral:rRNA from 1 species